rnacentral:rRNA from 1 species
UCGGGAAUUUUGGGCAAUGGGCGCAAGCCUGACCCAGCAACGCCGCGUGAAGGAUGAAGUCCCUCGGGAUGUAAACUUCGAAAGAAUAGGAAGAAUCAAUGACGGUACUAUUUUUAAGCCCCGGCUAACUCCGUGCCAGCAGCCGCGGUAAUACGGAGGGGGCAAGCGUUGUUCGGAUUUACUGGGCGUAAAGCGUAUGUAGGCGGUUAGGUAAGUUACUUGUGAAAUCUCCGAGCUUAACUCGGAACUGCCAAGUAAUACUGCCGAACUAGAGUGCAGAAGGGGCAAUUGGAAUUCUUGGUGUAGCGGUGAAAUGCGUAGAUAUCAAGAGGAACACCAGAGGCGAAGGCGAAUUGCUGGGCUGACACUGACGCUGAGAUACGAAAGCUAGGGGAGCAAA